UGUCAGUAUGGAGAUCAGAGCAGG
rnacentral:misc_RNA from 1 species